AUCAUUCACCUCACUUCAUCUCACCAAGUAAGCAUUUUAUCAUCUCAUUAUCACCACAAUGAUGCAUGAUGAAAUGUAUGAAAUGAUUAAUGUCUGGGAUUUGCUUGAAAACAAUCACAGUUGUGGGAGGAAGUAAAAAUACAGACAAAACAAGAAACAAGAGUGGGCAGGAGCUGACCAUUGUUUAAGAUGAUCACAGCUCCUGAAAAGAUACAGGGUUGAAAGAAGCGAGCAAUUUCAGCUGCUGCCCAACACAGGAGAAAAAGUUUGGAGCCCAGCUAAGUUAAGUACCAUUAAUACCAAAAGUCAAUAUUGUUUCAGAGGAAGAUAAUAGAAUUCAGUCUUUAUACCAUAGCUCCCAAAAUGUACAGUAUAUGAGUCAAACUUACUAGAUCCGUAAUGAAAUGGGGAAAUGUGACCACUGGUAAAGAGAAAAAACAGUCAACUGAAACCAAACCCACAGUAACCCAAAUUUAGAAUAAUCAGAAGACUAUUAUAAACUUUUUAAAACAUGUUUAAGGAUUUAAGAGAAAAUAUGGUCAUAAUAAAUGAACACACAGGUAAUCUAAGCAGAGAAUAAAACAAGGGAACAAAAUGGAAAAUCCAGAACUAAAAAGUAUAAUAUCUGAAAUAAAAAAUUCACCGGAUGAACUUAACAGCAGACUGGUGAUGGGUCAGUGAACCUGAAGACAAAGAGAAAUUUUCCAAUCUGCAGAAGAAAAAAAAAAAAAAAAAAAAGAAACUGCAC